UGAGCAACCUGCCCCGAAGACCGGGAUAACCCCGGGAAACCGGAGCUAAUACCGGAUACUCCGGCUGGAUCGCAUGGUCCGGCCGGGAAAGGUCCGCCGGAGAGGGAUGGGCCCGCGGCCUAUCAGCUUGUUGGUGGGGUCAUGGCUCACCAAGGCGACGACGGGUAGCUGGUCUGAGAGGACGACCAGCCACACUGGAACUGAGACACGGCCCAGACUCCUACGGGAGGCA
rnacentral:rRNA from 1 species